rnacentral:rRNA from 1 species
AUUGAACGCUAGCGGGAUGCCUUACACAUGCAAGUCGAACGGCAGCGCGGACUUCGGUCUGGCGGCGAGUGGCGAACGGGUGAGUAAUGUAUCGGAACGUGCCCAGUAGCGGGGGAUAACUACCCGAAAGAGUAGCUAAUACCUCAUACGCCCUACGGGGGAAAGGGGGGGAUCGCAAGACCUCUCACUAUUGGAGCGGCCGAUAUCGGAUUAGCUAGUUGGUGAGGUAAAGGCUCACCAAGGCGACGAUCCGUAGCUGGUUUGAGAGGACGACCGGCCACACUGGGAAUGGGGUACGGCCCAGACUCCUACGGGAGGCAGCAGUGGGGAAUUUUGGACAGUGGGGGCAACCCUGAUCCAGCCAUUCCGCGUGUGCGAUGAAGGCCUUCGGGUUGUAAAGCACUUUUGGCAGGAAAGAAAUCGCACGGAUUAAUACUCUGUGUGGAUGACGGUACCUGCAGAAUAAGCACCGGCUAACUACGUGCCAGCCGCCGCCGUAA